GCUUACAACUAGUUGAAUGACCCCUCUUUCACGGGCUGAGGACGUCAGUAUUGUUUUUACUUUGACUAAGAAACUGUGAGGAGGGUGGUAGGAACCCUGCACGCUAAAAAACUACAAAAUGUGCGGACUGCUUUACGGCAUGCGUCACUUCCCCUGUCGUUAUAAGGACAGAACUCCAGUGUGGGAUUUUGCAAACAUGGCGGAAGGUGGACAACAGAGAAAGAAGCCAAAAGUUUUGUCUGAGGAGGCAAAAAAAAGAAAAAGAGAGGCUACUCGGAUAAAAGCACAGUCCAGGAUCAACAUUGGCCCGGCUUUCACUCGCUGGCGUGAGCUGAAAGAUCAGGAGGGAUUUCCGACCGACGCUGCCUUGGCUCUGUUCCUGCUGGACUACUAUCAAAAGGAGCAAGUAACUUCUACUCCCCACAAGCAACACCUCCAACCACUGCAGCGUAUAGUUUCCAGCAUAACAGAAGAGGUCGGACCAUGAUAGGGGAGAACUGAUAGAGGGUGUCCAAAUCCUGGAAGAAGGCACUGGGGCAAAAGAAGCUGGUGUAUUAGAGGCCAGGUGAGUUUCUGUAAAUGGGUUGAUGGUGUGAGCCCUUGGUCAUCUGUCUGGGAACACUUGCCUACUGUUUCACAACACUGGCAUAAUGAGUUGCGUCAUUCACCAAAGGUCCCAUGCUGUUUGCUCAUGGGCUCAGGCACAUUGCACAGGACUCACAUGGAACAGUAUGCUGAGUGGUGCAGGACAGAAGGGGAGGGACUUCUGUCACAAACAGUGCAUCACAGCUCAGACGGGCUGGUGCAGCCAGAGACCAGUCUGAAAUCUUGCCUUGGAUUAAAGACAUUGUGAACCAUUUCUGGUACUGUGCCAAGCAGGCAUCCACUGUCGAGCAGUUCAAGAUGAAAUGGCAUGCUGUAAAUCAUCACAUUCGGAACCAGCACACAUGGGCCACUGGAUCUUGUGAGCAUGAGCCACUGGGUGAAGAUAUACAGGAAAAACCAUGGAUAAAACAAGGUUCAGCAGCUCACCAGGCUCUUGUAGCCAUCGUCCUGGAGAAGCGAUGAUUGAAGAAUGUUGUGAAGUUCAUCAACUUCAGGACAACAUCCGAUCUGGAAAGCUUCCAGAAUCACAUACUCAUGUACGCAGGAAAGCGGUUCUCCUAUACUCCAGCAGUGUAUCGGACGCGGAC